GAGGGUAUAGCUCAGGGGUAGAGUGUGUGCUUAGCAUGCGCGAGGUCCUGGGUUCAAUCCCAAGUACCUCCA
rnacentral:tRNA from 1 species